rnacentral:rRNA from 1 species
GACGAACGCUGGCGGCGUGCUUAACACAUGCAAGUCGAACGGUGAUGCCCCAGCUUGCUGGAGUGGAUCAGUGGCGAACGGGUGAGUAACACGUGAGCAACCUGCCCCAGACUCUGGAAUAAGCGCUGGAAACGGCGUCUAAUACUGGAUACGAAACUGGCCCGCAUGGGCAGGGCGUGGAAAGUUUGUCGGUUUGGGAUGGGCUCGCGGCCUAUCAGCUUGUUGGUGAGGUAAUGGCUCACCAAGGCGACGACGGGUAGCCGGCCUGGGAGGGCGACCGGCCACGCUAGGCCUGGACCGCGGCCCAGACUCCUACGGGAGGCAGCAGUGGGGUAUAUUGCACAAUGGGCGGAACCCUGAUGCAGCGACGCCGCGUGAGGGAUGACGGCCUUCGGGUUGUAAACCUCUUUCAGCAGGGAAGAAGCGAAAGUGACGGUACCUGCAGAAGAAGCACCGGCUAACUACGUG